AGCAGUGUGGCGCAGAGGCUAGCGCGCAGGGCUCAUAACCCUGAGGUCACUUGAUCGAGACAAGUCACUGCUA
rfam:Piriformospora indica DSM 11827, WGS project CAFZ01000000 data, contig: PIRI_contig_0095